AUGGAGUCCUCCGCCAUCAACGGGGCCCUAUGGGUGCUGGGCAAGGCGCUGAGCCCGCUGUCCGGCGGCCUAGUCGAGGCGUGGGCAGCCAGCUUCGGGCUUGGCCUCAACAUCGAGGCACUCAAGACGGAGCUCCUCUACGCGCAGGCCAUGCUCGACAACGCCCGCGGCCGGGAGAUCCACAGCCACGCGUUGUCUGAGCUGCUGCAGAGACUGCGCGCCCUGGCGUACGGUGCAGACGACGUGCUUGACGAGCUCGACUACUUCCACAUUCAGGACAAGCUUCACGACACCUUCGAGACCGUCCAUGAAGACGACCGCGGGUGCGUCCAUAACCUUCUCCGCGAUACACGAUACACAACCAAAGAUGGAACCAAGCUGCUUGGGUGUGCAUCGUGCUGCUCUGCUGCAAGCGGCACUUACAAAGCAGAUGAGUCAUGCAACUGCGUCAGCCGGCUCGCCUCCCGUACUCGCUCUACCAUCCAUGCAUUCGGGUGGAUGUCUCUACAAGAAUGA
rnacentral:rRNA from 1 species